rnacentral:rRNA from 1 species
GACAUGCUAGUCGAGUGACUCAGGCAAAACGAGUCACGGCACACAGCUCAGUAACACGUGGCUAAUCUGCCCUUAGGACGAGAACAACCCCGGGAAACUGGGGCUAACUCUUGAUAGGUGAAGAACUCUGGAAUGAGUCUUUGCCUAAAAAGAUUCACGUUAUCCUCGUGAACCUGCCUAAGGAUGAGGCCGCGACCGAUCAGGUUGUUGGUGAGGUAAUGGCUCACCAAGCCUUUUACCGGUGCGGGCCGUGGGAGCGGGAGCCCGGAGAUGGGUACUUAGACAAGGACCCAGGCCCUACGGGGCGCAGCAGUCGCGAAACCUUUGCAAUACACGUAAGUGUGACAGGGCUAUCCCGAGUGCCAUCCGCUGAGGAAGGCUUUUACCCAGUCUAGACCGCUGGGGGAAUAAGGAGAGGGCAAGUCUGGUGUCAGCCGCCGCGGUAAUACCAGCUCUCCGAGUGGUGUGGAUGUUUAUUGGGCCUAAAGCAUCCGUAGCUGGCUAGGUAAGUCCCCUGUUAAAUCCACCGAAUUAAUCGUUGGAUCGCGGGGGAUACUGCUUGGCUAGGGGACGAGAGAGGCAGACGGUAUUUUCGGGGUAGGGGUGAAAUCCUAUAAUCCCGGGAAGACCACCAGUGGCGAAGGCUGUCUGCUAGAACGCGCCCGACGGUGAGGGAUGAAAGCUGGGGGAGCGAACCGGAUUAGAUACCCGGGUAGUCCCAGCUGUAAACGAUGCAGCUAGGUGUUUGGACGGCCACGUGCCGUUCUAGUGCCGCAGGGAAGCUGUUAAGCCUGCCGCCUGGGGAGUACGAUCGCAAGAUUGAAACUUAA